AUUUCAACCUGCCCAACACGAUUACUGGUCCACCUAGAAAUGCCGUGGAGCGAUUUAAGAGCCUCGGAAAUUUCCUUUAAGGUCAGGAGAGAAGCUGGUAACAGAUGGGGCGAAGGAGGAAAAGUUCUUUUUGCGGCACCCUCACGCCUUCCCAGCCCUUUCGCGGUUUACUCGCUCCCCGGAAAGCAGACUAGUCUCACUCUGUUGCCCAGGCUGGAGUGCAGUGGCGCGAUCUCAGCUUACUUCAGCCUCCGCCUCCCGGUUUCAAGUGAAUUCUCCAGCCUCAACUUCACAAGUAGCUGGGAUUACAGCCACUUUUUAUCUUCUCUCCUGCAAUCCAACCCACAUAAUUUCCAUGAAGAAAGCGGAGUGGUGUCAUUUUACAACAAGAAAACUGAGUUAAGAAUAAGUCCAAUCAAUUGCUAGGUGUUGAGACUGAAAUGGAAGUCUCUUAGUACUCCACCCAAGGAUUUUCAUAUUAAACAAUUAUCUUGUCAUCAUUUUAUUUCUGAGUUAUUCUCUUCAGUUUUUGUUCUCUUCAAUUUUCAGAAAAAUUGAAAAUGCUAAUAACAUGUGUUCUGGUCCCUUGAAUCAGAAAUUUCAAGUACACGCAGAAUGAAUUUUCACUGACCCUCCUCCCCUGUGUGCUCAGAUUUCUCUUAUUCUUCAUCCCAUCUGUAUUUCUGGGUUUUUUUGCAACAGUAUUUCUCAGGACCUACCAUUUGGGUGAGAAAGGAAAUGUAUCUGCCCUCUGUCUUUAUGUUCAUUUAAUCUAGUGGUUCUCACUCCUUCAUCACCAUGAAGAGUCUUUUGGUCUUGUAUCUAAUUUCCAUCUAAUCUCAUUCUAUUAGAAAUGUUAGUUCUAUCGAGUGAUUAACUCUUCCAAUAAUCAGC
rnacentral:lncRNA from 1 species